AGAGUUUGAUCAUGGCUCAGAACGAACGCUGGCGGCGUGCUUAACACAUGCAAGUCGAGUGCGCGGUUGUAGCAAUACAACUGGCGCACGGCGCACGGGUGCGUAACACGUGGGCAAUCUGCCCUCCGAUGGGGAAUAACCCCGCGAAAGCGGGGCUAAUUCCGCAUAACAUUCCCUGGACUCUGGUUCGGGGAUUCAAAGCAGCAAUGCGUCGGAGGAGGAGCCCGCGCCCGAUUAGCUAGUUGGUGAGGUAACGGCUCACCAAGGCAAUGAUCGGUAGCUGGUCUGAGAGGAUGGCCAGCCACACUGGAACUGAGACACGGUCCAGACUCCUACGGGAGGCAGCAGUGGGGAAUCUUGCGCAAUGGGCGAAAGCCUGACGCAGCGACGCCGCGUGGGGGAUGAAGCUUCUCGGAGUGUAAACCCCUUUCGACCGGGACGAAUGCCCGCAAGGGAGUGACGGUACCGGUAGAAGAAGCCCCGGCUAACUACGUGCCAGCAGCCGCGGUAAGACGUAGGGGGCCAGCGUUGUUCGGAAUUACUGGGUGUAAAGGGUUCGUAGGCGGUGUGGCAAGUCGGGAGUGAAAUUUCUGGGCUUAACCCAGAGGCUGCUUCCGAAACUGCUGUGCUCGAGUGUGGGAGAGGCGCGUGGAAUUGCAGGUGUAGCGGUGAAAUGCGUAGAUAUCUGCAGGAACACCCGUGGCGAAAGCGGCGCGCUGGACCACUACUGACGCUGAGGAACGAAAGCUAGGGGAGCAAACAGGAUUAGAUACCCUGGUAGUCCUAGCCCUAAACGAUCAGGACUUGGGGUGCCACCCGUUCGGGUGUCGUCCCGGAGCUAACGCGUUAAGUCCUGCACCUGGGGAGUACGGUCGCAGACUGAAACUCAAAGGAAUUGACGGGGCCCGCACAAGCGGUGGAACAUGU
rnacentral:rRNA from 1 species